UCGCCAGAGGACUUGCGCACGCGCGGAGACGCCUGGGCUCGCGGCUCGGGAGGGGCUGUCGCCCCAGGGGCUACUCCUCGCCAAUACCUCGCCCGGAGCUCGGGCAGCGGGGGCGGUGUGGGGAGAGGCGGCUCGCCGCUGGGGGGGGUCUGAGAGCGGCCAGCUUCUAGCCUGGCGCCCCCCCCCCGACCUCCUACGCCAUCCUCUAUUUCCUUACCACAACGCAGGCCCGAGCCACAUCCGCUCCACCUCCCAGGUCGCCGUUACUGCUCGAUGCCCUGAUUGUGAAGUAAGUUUGUCUCAAGUCCUUGGAAUCGUACUUGCAGUGCUUCUUCCAAUCCAUCCUGCCACUCAUAGGACAAAUAGCAGGAUUUCGUUGUCUAGCACAUGAACGAUAACAGCAACGCCGUUGAACAAGAUGCGAAGGUAGUGAUACGGUCAGUCACAGAGAAGAAAUCCUGGCUUGUAUGAGCACGUCAUAUCAAUCCGUUCUUAUUGGCAGUGUCUGGGGUUGGCAGGUGACUAGUCACUGAUGAAGACACUUAUGAGGAAGGUCACGUUGAAGAAAGACCCCUCCACCCACUCAGCUGCUCCCUUCUUCUCUUCAGGCUUUUUUCAUAUUGUCUCAUGAGGACUUGAUAUUUGGAGGGCUGCUGCUGAAGCUUGGAAUUUCCCAAUGGAUACACAUGAUACAUAUGCACAAUUAUGAACUUAUACUGCAGUUCUAGAUUUAUUGACAGGGAAAGAUAUCUGUGAUAUGUUGCUGAUAUGAUACGUAACAUUAAAACUAUUUACAUAAAAUUGAACACAAUUGUGUAUAUAUGCACCAAGACCUGCCUGGAAUUAUGUUCAUUUAAAUAUUAAGAGUGGUCAUCUCUGAGUAGUGAGAUGUUGGUGAAUUUCUACUUUAUUCCUUGUAUUUUUCUGUAAGGUUUAAGGUUUAGAUUUUAAUGUGAAUAAUCAACGUUUUUAAAAAGUAUGAUUCUGAGCUUGAGAGUCUGAUUGAUGCAGACUCAAAUUUUAGUCCCAUCUCUCAGUGCCUGAGUGCCCCCAGACAAGACACUUUACUUCUUCUUUUUUUUUUUUUAGUUUUUUUUUGAUGUGGACCAUUUUUAAAGUCUUUAUUGAAUUUGUUACAAUAUUGCUCCUAUUGUUUAUGUUUUGGUUUUUUGGCCGCGAGGCAUGUAGGAUCUUAGCUCCCCAACCAGGGAUCGAACCCACACCCUCUGCACUGGAAAGCGAAGUCUUAACCACUGGACUGCCAGGGAAGUCCCUCACUUUACUUCUUGGAGCUCUGGUUACCCAUCUAUAAAUUGAUGUGAUACCUACCUUAUGGGACUGUUUAUAACACCCAGUAUGGUCCCUAGCACAGAGCUUUACUGAGAAAAUAUUAGUUCUUUGUGUCUUGGCCUGGAAGGCAAUGCUUUUUUUUUAAGUUCUUGCCUUCAGUGAACACAUG